rnacentral:rRNA from 1 species
UACGUAGGGCGCAAGCGUUGUCCGGAAUUAUUGGGCGUAAAGAGCUCGUAGGCGGCUUGUCACGUCGGAUGUGAAAUCCCCGGGCUCAACCUGGGAAUUGCAUUCGAUACUGGAUAGCUAGAGUUCGGCAGAGGGAAGUGGAAUUUCGGGGUGUAGCGGUGAAAUGCGUAGAUAUCCGAAGGAACAUCAGUGGCGAAAGCGAACUCCUGGACCAGAACUGACGAUCAGGCACGAAAGCGUGGG